rnacentral:siRNA from 1 species
CUCGAGGUGGUAUCUGUAACUACA